rnacentral:lncRNA from 7 species
GGCGGCCACCGUGAACCACGCCGGCACCGCGGAGCGGCGGCCACUCGAAGGACCUGCUGAUGAGAACGCGAGUCCCCAGGUACGUACGUACGUACAGCAAGCUUAUUUGCCAAGUUCGUCCAUCUCGAUCGUAUCGCUAGCUGUGCGAUCGAUCCACUCCAAAACUGUGGACGCGUGACGCGUCAAGGGCGAAGAGGUGAGAAACCUGCCGUGAAUUUCAGAUGGGGGGGAGGAGCUUGUGGGAAGAGGGCGAUGAUGAUCUGCAGAGCCUAGUCCUGAUGGGAUUCCGGGGGCGACACGUGAUCAUUGGCGGCCCGAUCUGAUUGGCGGACGGACGGACGGACGGACAGUUCAGUUUCACCGAUCGCCACAUGACGACGGCAGGGGUUAGGCUCCAAUCAUUGGACAUUCUCCAUGAUUGUACAUAGCAACAGGACUGUCACACGCUAAUCGCCUCACACUUGAGUUUCCAGCUCAGCAGUAGCAGAGGCCAAGAAAACACACACACACACACAAAAAAAAGGCGAAAAGAAGACGCUUUGUUUGUUGCAUUGCGUUUGGGCCCCCGCACGAAUUUGCAGUUUGAUCUAAUGUAAUGUAAUGUAAUGAUGCUUAUACUCUCAUAAACAUCAAGUUGACGAAACU